rnacentral:snoRNA from 1 species
AUAUUUAUAAUAUCGUGCGGAAAUCCAGGACUAUAAAACCGUGUUGCUUCGUUGCGAUUUUUAAUUUGCAUGCAAGCGUCAAGUCCAUCGGAGAGAUCAAAAUCGUUCAUCUUAGCGCCCUUUCUGUUGGGUAAAAACGGGAAACCUAGUUUCCUUACAACAUCCAAUGGAGGGCUGGUAGAUCGAAUAUUU